rnacentral:rRNA from 1 species
UGGGGAAUUUUGGACAAUGGGCGCAAGCCUGAUCCAGCAAUGCCGCGUGCAGGAAGAAGGCCUUCGGGUUGUAAACUGCUUUUGUCAGGGAAGAAAUCCUCUGGGUUAAUACCUCGGGGGGAUGACGGUACCUGAAGAAUAAGCACCGGCUAACUACGUGCCAGCAGCCGCGGUAAUACGUAGGGUGCGAGCGUUAAUCGGAAUUACUGGGCGUAAAGCGUGCGCAGGCGGUUGUGCAAGACAGGUGUGAAAAUCCCCCGGGGCUUAAACCUGGGAACUGCACCUGUGACUGCACGGCUAGAGUACGGUAGAGGGGGAUGGAAUUCCGCGUGUAGCAGUGAAAUGCGUAGAUAUGCGGAGGAACACCGAUGGCGAAGGCAAUCCCCUGGACCUGUACUGACGCUCAUGCACGAAAGCGUGGGGAGCAAACAGGAUUAGAUACCCUGGUAGUCCACGCCCUAAAACGAUGUCAACUGGUUGUUGGACGGCUUGCUGUUCAGUAACGAAGCUAACGCGUGAAGUUGACCGCCUGGGGAGUACGGCCGCAGGGUUGAAACUUAAAGGAAUUGACGGGGUCAUAGCUGUUUCC